GGAAUGUGUCAAAUGCAGUUUUGGUAUCUUCCAUUGAUAACCAACUAUCAAUCGGUCAAAGCAACUUGCUAAGCUUUCCAUGCCACACUCAAGCAGUAGAGCGAACUGUUAAGCUUAUUACUGAAGCGUCGAAGAAGUUUGCCUAAAUUUGAGAACAAGUCCCAGUAUACAACAGACAAAUAAAACAAAAUCGAAAAACAAAAAGAAAAUU